CGGUAAGGCCCUUCGGGGUACACGAGUGGCGAACGGGUGAGUAACACGUGGGUAAUCUGCCCUGCACAUCGGGAUAAGCCUGGGAAACUGGGUCUAAUACCGAAUAGGACCACAGAACACAUGUCCUGUGGUGGAAAGCUUUUGCGGUGUGGGAUGGGCCCGCGGCCUAUCAGCUUGUUGGUGGGGUGAUGGCCCACCAAGGCGACGACGGGUAGCCGGCCUGAGAGGGUGUCCGGCCACACUGGGACUGAGAUACGGCCCAGACUCCUACGGGAGGCAGCAGUGGGGAAUAUUGCACAAUGGGCGAAAGCCUGAUGCAGCGACGCCGCGUGGGGGAUGACGGCCUUCGGGUUGUAAACCUCUUUCACCAUCGACGAAGGUUCGGGUUUUCUCGGGCUGACGGUAGGUGGAGAAGAAGCACCGGCCAACUACGUGCCAGCAGCCGCGGUAAUACGUAGGGUGCGAGCGUUGUCCGGAAUUACUGGGCGUAAAGAGCUCGUAGGUGGUUUGUCGCGUUGUUCGUGAAAUCUCACGGCUUAACUGUGAGCGUGCGGGCGAUACGGGCAGACUUGAGUACUGCAGGGGAGACUGGAAUUCCUGGUGUAGCGGUGGAAUGCGCAGAUAUCAGGAGGAACACCGGUGGCGAAGGCGGGUCUCUGGGCAGUAACUGACGCUGAGGAGCGAAAGCGUGGGGAGCGAACAGGAUUAGAUACCCUGGUAGUCCACGCCGUAAACGGUGGGUACUAGGUGUGGGUUUCCUUCCUUGGGAUCCGUGCCGUAGCUAACGCAUUAAGUACCCCGCCUGGGGAGUACGGCCGCAAGGCUAAAACUCAAAGAAAUUGACGGGGGCCCGCACAAGCGGCGGAGCAUGUGGAUUAAUUCGAUGCAACGCGAAGAACCUUACCUGGGUUUGACAUGCACAGGACGCCGGCAGAGAUGUCGGUUCCCUUGUGGCCUGUGUGCAGGUGG
rnacentral:rRNA from 1 species